rnacentral:lncRNA from 1 species
GCACCCAAUUCCACCACAGAGUCGGGAUUUCGUCGGUGAUCGUGAUGGGUGCUUGGUGUGAAGGAAUUAAUUUGCAAGAUGAAUAACCAUUGUGAUAACUGCUCACAUGCAAAGGAGAGAGAUUGCUGAUUUUACAGAUCUGAACAGAAUUAAGACGAACGAGCUUUCACAAUUGCAGCAGAUGAAGAUCCAUUGGUAAAUUGAUCAGGAUUUUUGGCCUACCCUCCAAAGAAAAG